rnacentral:lncRNA from 1 species
UUUUAAUACUUGAAUAUACAUUGUAUUAGGUCUUUUUUAUAUUAAAUUUAGAUACUUUUUGUGUGUGCAAUAAAUAAAUUAAAGAUUCAAAAGUUUUACUCUGACUGAACUUUUUGGCCGUCAUUGUCUUACAUAAAUAACAUUGGAAAACACAUCACAUUUGAUCUGGGACACCUAACAUCUACUCUUAUUUGACAAAAAUUGCAUGGCAAAAUAAUAUACAUGUAUUUCAUAUAACUGAGAACAUAGUUGAAAAUUCAUAUAUUGAUUAAAAAUUAAAUGGAAAAUAAUAUGCUUCAUACAAUUAUAUACAAAGUUGAAAUUCAUAUAUUUGAGGGGUAAAUUAUUAUAUACUGCAGUGACAGACAAAAUCAAUGUGAAAAUAUGUUUUUCCAUUAAUGGAAGAAAAACUAGAAAUGCAUAUAUUGAAAGGGUAAACUUUUUAUGUCCUCAACUGUGACACAAAAUCAAAUUUAACCAAGAAUUUUUAGCAUACGCCAUCAUCCAUCCCAUCCAUUUUGUCUCAAAGUCUGUGAUAAUAUUAUUCAUGAUGCAUAACUUGUUAUGCAAUAUACUAUUUAACUUUUAGAUUAACAUUAUUUAACCCUUUUCAGUUGUAUGACUGCAAUUUUUAAUUAUUGUUUAUAAUUUUCUUUUUGGAACAUUUUAUUUUGCUGAUAUUUUUUUAUUAUGAUGUAACAUUUGAAAUUACACCAUUAUAUAUAUACAAAUGUUUUUUAACUUCCAAAAUAUAUACCAGCAAAAAUUUGUCCUUCUGUCAUUUUAUACUUUCAUAUUUUUACAAUAAUUUGAGUAAAACUGACUGCAAAUAAAAUAAUCUUGAAAGAAUAUAAAACAGAAGUUUUUCCUUAAAUAUUUUGGUGAAAAAUUUAAGCUUUUAACUGCAAUUUUUUUCUCUGUGUAUCUUUGUGGUUGUGGAUUUAAAAAAAAAUUGUGACAUUCUCUCAUGGUCAGUAAACAAUCUCUCAUUAAACAUUCAACAUUUGUCAUUGCAUAUCAUAAUAGUAUUUCUCAAUUUUUUCAUAACCACAUAUAGUUUCAAGUAGAAAUGUUCUUAUUUGAAUUGUUUUUUAUACAAUCUGACCAAAAAUAUAUUGUUUGAUAGAUGCUUAUAUUUUAUUAGUUACUUUAUAUAUUUAUAAAGAAAUAAA